GAUGAACGCUGGCGGCGUGCUUAACACAUGCAAGUCGAACGGGGUAUGGAUUUGGAUUUCACACGAUUGAAGAAUCCAUACUUAGUGGCGGACGGGUGAGUAACGCGUGGAUAACCUGCCCCAUACCGGGGGAUAACAGCCGGAAACGGCUGCUAAAACCGCAUAAGCGCACAGGAAUGCAUGUUCCGGUGUGAAAAACUCCGGUGGUAUGGGAUGGAUCCGCGUCUGAUUAGCUAGUUGGCGGGAUAGAGGCCCACCAAGGCGACGAUCAGUAGCCGACCUGAGAGGGUGGCCGGCCACAUUGGGACUGAGACACGGCCCAG
rnacentral:rRNA from 1 species